rnacentral:rRNA from 1 species
CCUACGGGAGGCUGCAGUAGGGAAUCUUCCACAAUGGACGAAAGUCUGAUGGAGCAACGCCGCGUGAGUGAAGAAGGGUUUCGGCUCGUAAAGCUCUGUUGGUAGGGAAGAAAGAUAGAGGUAGUAACUGGCCUUGAGUGGACGGUAAGUACGGAGAAAGGCACGGCUAACUACGUGCCAGCAGCCGCGGUAAGACGUAGGUGGCAAGCGUUGUCCGGAUUUAUUGGGCGUAAAGCGAGUGAAGGCGGUUCCAUAAGUCUGAGGUGAAAGCCUUCGGCUCAACCGGAGAAUUGCAUCCGAAACUUUUGACCUUGAGUGCAGCAGCGGCGAGUGGAACUCCCUGUGUCGCGGUG